rnacentral:rRNA from 1 species
GAUGAACGCUGGCGGCGUGCCUAAUACAUGCAAGUCGAGCGGACAGACAAUGAGCUUGCUCCUCUACCGUUAGCGGCGGCCGGGUGAGUAACACGUGGAUCACCUACUUCUAUGUCUUGGAUAACUUCGGGAAACCGGAGCCACUACCGGCUAAUAUAUUGAACCGCAUGGUUCAAUAGAUAAUGACGGUUUUGCUGUCUCUUAUAGAUGGUUCCGCGCCGGAUUAGCUAGUUGGUAAGGUCCCGGCAUACCAAGGCAACGAUGCGUAGCCGACCUGAGAGGGUGAUCGGCCACACUGGAACUGAGACACGGUCCAGACUCCUACGGGAGGCAGCAGUGGGGAAUCUUCGGCAAUGGGCGAAAGCCUGACGGAGCAACGCCGCGUGAGUGAUGAAGGCCUUCGGAUCGUAAAACUCUGUUAUUAGGGAAGAACAAAUGUAUAAUUAACUAUGGACGUCUUGACGGUACCUAAACAAAAAGCAACGGCUAACUACGUG